UACGUAGGGUGCGAGCGUUUAAUCGGAAUUACUGGGCGUAAAGCGUGCGCAGGCGGUUUUGUAAGCCAGAUGUGAAAUCCCCGGGCUUAACCUGGGAAUGGCAUUUGGGACUGCAAGGCUCGAGUGCGGCAGAGGAGACUGGGAAUUCCUGGUGUAGCAGUGAAAUGCGUAGAUAUCAGGAGGAACACCGAUGGCGAAGGCAGGUCUCUGGGCUGACACUGACGCUC
rnacentral:rRNA from 1 species